AAGGCAGCACACCACACUAAAUGAAGCCGCAGCUUCGAAUGGCCAGGGAGGAUUUCAUGGAUAUAGUGACUAUUGUGGAUUUAAAUGACUGGUUGUCUUUAAAAUGCAUUUUCAGCAUGAAAUUUGUUUUUGUGACAUGUAAUAUGAUCAUUGGCAAAUUCGAAAACAUGGUUAGAAAUCACAUGCUGAUAAUUAUUGAUGUCAAGGUCGCCAUUGUUUGUAAACAUUGCUUUUAAACAGCAUGCUCGGUGAAAACAAGUAAUUUUACAGGGGGGUACAAACUUUCAGCAAUAGCAAAAAAUCUACAAGGCCAAGCACCUAUUUCUUUGUGAUAUUUUGCAUGCAUAGGGAGUUGCUAAAGCAGUGACAGAGUUUUUGUAGACCGUAUAUUUGCAGGUAUUUUUUGCCGGAGGGACGAAAAAUGUUGUUUUGGGUCUCGGACCACUAUAGAUUUUUGGCUUUUACGGAAUGAAUUGGAAUUUUUUUAACUGCCUGACUGUUGCACAUGGGAUGAUUUCAUUACAGAUUUGCAAUGGUAUGACAUAUAUGUUCUUAACAAAAUGUGUUUUCUUUUUCCAGGUUGUAGUUUGGGAUCAGAUUUAUCAGACAUAUUGCUUGUAGGACAUUGACGGCAGAAACUUGAAAUUUAGUGUGGAGUGCUACCUUAAGGUUGUGUAGUUUGGGAUAAGAUUUAUCAGACAUAUUGCCUGUAGGACAUUGACGGCAGAAACUUGAAAUUUAGUGUGGAGUGCUACCUUAAGGUUGUGUAGUUUGGGAUAAGAUUUAUCAGACAUAUUGCCUGUAGGACAUUGACGGCAGAAACUUGAAAUUUAGUGUGGAGUGCUACCUAAGUGGU